rnacentral:rRNA from 1 species
GGUAUCGCCGUUAGUCAUGUGCAAAUAUGGAUAGCUGUUUUAGCCGUCUUUAUUGACUGGUUUAUAAGAGUUAUCAGAUAUCACUUUGAUUAAAUUAGAGUGCUUAAAGCAAGUGUGUUACUUGGAUAUAAAUGCAUGGAAUGAUGGAAUAUGUUGUUAUUCUAUUUGUUGGUUUUUGAAUGAUAAAAAGAUUGAAGGGAACUGUUGGGGGCAUUCGUAUUGUUGUGAGAGAGGUGAAAUUCUUAGACCACAGCAAGACGAACUACUGCGAAAGCAUUUGCCAAGAAUGUUUUCAUUGAUCAAGAACGAAAGUUAGAGGUUCGAAGGCGAUCAGAUACCGCCCUAGUUCUAACCAUAAACUAUGCCAACUAGCAAUUUGCUUUGUAUUUUUUAUGACUAAGUGAGAGGCCACGGGAAACCUAAGUAGGGUUAUGGGGGAAGUAUGGUUGCAAAGCUGAAACUUAAAGGAAUUGACGGAAGGGCACCACCAGGAGUGGAGCCUGCGGCUUAAUUUGACUCAACACGGGAAAACUUACCUGGUCCUGACACUAGAAGGAUUGACAGAUUGAUAGCUCUUUCUUGAUUUGGUGGAUGGUGGUGCAUGGCCGUUCUUAGUUGGUGGAGUGAUUUGUCUGGUUAAUUCCGAUAACGAACGAGACUCUAGCCUAUUAAAUAAUACACGGAAUUUUAUCUUCCGCGGUAUUUCUUAGUGGGAUCAAGCG